rnacentral:snoRNA from 3 species
AAGCCAAUGAUGAUUAGCUUUAUGUUGGAAUUACCGUCAUAUAGCGAUAUUUUUGCGGCUUUCUGAGGUUUAUG